UACGGAGGGGGCUAGCGUUGUCCGGAAUCACUGGGGGUAAAGGGUUCGCAGGCGGAAAUGCAAGUCAGAUGUAAAAGCCAGUAGCUUAACUACUGUAAGCAUUUGAAACUGCAUAUCUUGAGAAGAGUAGAGGUAAGUGGAAUUUUUAGUGUAGCGGUGAAAUGCAUAGAUAUUAAAAAGAACACCGAUUGCGAAGGCGGCUUACUGGGCU
rnacentral:rRNA from 1 species